ensembl:lncRNA
AAGUUCAGAAUGUGUCUUCCUGUUUUUCUACUGUGUUCUGAAUUGAGCUUAGUGUGUAAACAGACCUUUGUUUUCAUUCCUUUUUCUUAGCACAUGUGCCUAUAUGGCUGUUUUCUCCACUCAGCUACGAGCAGGGAAGAAAGUCUUCUUUCCUUGAACAAUUCUGUAGAUGUGAUUUUAGCAACGUGAGACCUCUCUGCUGUGAAUGUCAGGUAUGGGUAGCUGAGUCAUGCCGAAUGAAAAGGAAGUAGACUUGACCUGUCAUUGUUAAUGUGCCCUCAUUACAGAUGUUUUUGUUACCCACAUGAUAUCUUCUUUACACUGCUAUCCCU